GAAAAAUUAGUUAAAUAAAUAAUAUUAAUUUGUCAAAUUAGAGUAACUUUUGUAUUUUUCU
rnacentral:tRNA from 1 species